AUUGAACGCUGGCGGCAGGCCUAACACAUGCAAGUCGAACGGUAGCACAGAGAGCUUGCUCUCGGGUGACGAGUGGCGGACGGGUGAGUAACGUCUGGGAAACUGCCCGAUGGAGGGGGAUAACUACUGGAAACGGUAGCUAAUACCGCAUAACGUCGCAAGACCAAAGUGGGGGACCUUCGGGCCUCACACCAUCGGAUGUGCCCAGAUGGGAUUAGCUAGUAGGUGGGGUAAUGGCUCACCUAGGCGACGAUCCCUAGCUGGUCUGAGAGGAUGACCAGCCACACUGGAACUGAGACACGGUCCAGACUCCUACGGGAGGCAGCAGUGGGGAAUAUUGCACAAUGGGCGUAAGCCUGAUGCAGCCAUGCCGCGUGUAUGAAGAAGGCCUUCGGGUUGUAAAGUACUUUCAGCGGGGAGGAAGGCGGUGAGGUUAUUAACUUCACCGAUUGACGUUACCCGCAGAAGAAGCACCGGCUAACUCCGUGCCAGCAGCCGCCGUAA
rnacentral:rRNA from 1 species